AUUGAACGCUGGCGGCAGGCCUAACACAUGCAAGUCGAGCGAGUGGCGGACGGGUGAGUAAUGUCUGGGAAACUGCCCGUUGGAGGGGGAUAACUACUGGAAACGGUAGCUAAUACCGCAUACCAUCUGAUGUGCCCAGAUGGGAUUGGCUAGUAGGGGGGUUAACGGCUCACCUAGGCGACGAUCCCUAGCUGGUCUGAGAGGAGGACCGGCCACACUGGAACGGAGACACGGUCCAGACUCCUACGGGAGGCAGAAGUGGGGAAUAUUGGACAAGGGGCGAAAGCCUGAGGCGGCAAUGCCGGGUGUAUGAGGAAGGCCUUCGGGUUGUAAAGUACUUUCAGCGGGGAGGCGUUACCCGCAGAAGAAGCACCGGCUAACUACGUGCCAGCAGCCGCGGUAAUUC
rnacentral:rRNA from 1 species